rnacentral:rRNA from 1 species
UACGUAGGGGGCGAGCGUUGUCCGGAUUUACUGGGCGUAAAGCGCGUGUAGGCGGCUGUCUAAGUUGGGUGUGAAAGCCCGGGGCUCAACCCCGGGACGCCGCCCAAGACUGGACGGCUUGAGGACGGAAGAGGGGCGUGGAAUUCCAGGUGUAGCGGUGAAAUGCGUAGAGAUCUGGAGGAACACCCGUGGCGAAGGCGGCGCCCUGGUCCGUUACUGACGCUGAGACGCGAAAGCCAGGGGAGCAAACGGG